CACAGCAUUUUUGAAAUUUAUGCACCAUUAUUUAAUUGAAUGCAACAAUGGCAAAGAGUGCAUGGUUAUCCCAAUCAUUGCUUAAAGGUCUUGCGCAAGGAAAUAGCCAAUUAAACUUAAAUUAACUUAGUCAUUUGUAGUUCAAUAUAUAUAGAGACAAUUUCUUUUCUUUCUUCCAUAUUUGGCACCUUUUUUUAAGGCCUACAGUAUUGAAAUUGGACUGAGUGGAACUGAAUUAAGAUGUGCAUGAUGCAACUUCUUGGAUGGUGUUGAGUUUGUUUGUCAGCAUGUGAAACCCACAUGUAUUUGGGGAUGCACCAGAAGCAGCAGCACUGUCUCUAUCACUGGUGAAAUGGGAAAUGAUAAGUGGACGACCAAUACUAUGAAGCUCAUUAAUGCAUUCCGCAGCCCAUCUCUUUUCGUCUCCAAUGGUGGUGUCUAGAGGAAUUGUUGCAGUGCAGUCUUCAUGUCUUGGGCAGGUGGGGGAAUUCCCCGCCCUCGGGUCUUAGAAACAACCCUGGAGUCACUUGUGUGGCAGCAUAUAUGAUGCUGUUUUUCUGAUGGCACUGAAGAGGACUUUGAUAUGCUGGGCAUAUCCUUCUGCUCUUAUAGAUG